UAUCUCUGUAGAGUCUGCAUAUCAAUAAGCGGAGGAAAAGAAACUAACUAGGAUUCCCUCAGUAACGGCGAGUGAAGCGGGAAGAGCUCAAAUUUGAAAUCUUAAAGGGUUCUACCUUGACGAAUUGUAGUUUAAAGAAGUGUUUUCUGUUAGAUGAGUUCGGUAAAAGUUCCUUUGGAAUAGGGACAUCAUAGAGGGUGAGAAUCCCGUAUUUGACCGUUAUUUUCAGCUGUGUGAUACACUUUCAAAGAGUCGGAUUGUUUGGGAAUGCAGUCCAAAAUGGGUGGUAAAUUUCAUCUAAAGCUAAAUACUGGCGAGAGACCGAUAGCGAACAAGUACCGUGAGGGAAAGAUGAAAAGAACUUUGAAAAGAGAGUUAAACAGUACGUGAAAUUGUCAAAAGGGAAGCGUUUGACACCAGCUGUUGUUUUCUCGUAAAUCAAUUAAAAAUGGCUUGAUUUUGUGUUGUAUUGACCUUAAAAGCUUUCUUCACUUUUUUCAUGUCUUUUUUAAUGCACUUUUCGUUUAACAAGUCAACAUCAGUUUCUUUUGUUGUAAAAAGGUCAUUGGAAGGUGGCUUUCUUUUCGGAGAAAGUGUUUAUAGCCUUUGACUUCUGCAAUCGGAGAGACUGAGGUCUGCAGCGUAGAUCCUUCGGGGUUAGAUACAUUUGUGCUAAGUUAUAGCCUUUCAUAGACAACUUGUUGACUAUGAUCAGUCAUGUAGCUUACUCGCUUAUGCUAUUUUACCUACGCUUAGGAUGUUGAAGAUGUAGCACAUCAU
rnacentral:rRNA from 1 species